rnacentral:rRNA from 1 species
GGGUUGUGAGGUUAAGCGACUAAGCGUACACGGUGGAUGCCCUGGCAGUCAGAGGCGAUGAAGGACGUGCUAAUCUGCGAUAAGCGCCGGUAAGGUGAUAUGAACCGUUAUAACCGGCGAUUUCCGAAUGGGGAAACCCAGUGUGAUUCGUCACACUAUCAUUAACUGAAUCCAUAGGUUAAUGAGGCGAACCGGGGGAACUGAAACAUCUAAGUACCCCGAGGAAAAGAAAUCAACCGAGAUUCCCCCAGUAGCGGCGAGCGAACGGGGAGGAGCCCAGAGCCUGAAUCAGCAUGUGUGUUAGUGGAAGCGUCUGGAAAGGUGCGCGAUACAGGGUGACAGCCCCGUACACAAAAGCGCAUGUGCUGUGAGCUCGAUGAGUAGGGCGGGACACGUGGUAUCCUGUCUGAAUAUGGGGGGACCAUCCUCCAAGGCUAAAUACUCCUGACUGACCGAUAGUGAACCAGUACCGUGAGGGAAAGGCGAAAAGAACCCCGGCGAGGGGAGUGAAAAAGAACCUGAAACCGUGUACGUACAAGCAGUGGGAGCACAGGUUUACCUGUGUGACUGCGUACCUUUUGUAUAAUGGGUCAGCGACUUAUAUUCUGUAGCAAGGUUAACCG